AACAAGAUCGAGAGCUGCUUUUAGCCUGACAGCAACUUGGAAAUGAGAUCGACAUAGAUGCCAGACAAUUCUGAAAAUGUCAAGAAGUUCAGCAAGUCCCAUAAAUGAAAUACUACUAGCUACUAGUGAUAGGCUUUGUUAAGGAUGCAUCUUUCUGUGUGACCCUCCUGGAUGUUGGAGGAAUCUGAAUCUGUUCAAACAGAUACAAAGACACAUGCUUUUUUUUUCCUCAUCUUUCUUGGAG
rnacentral:lncRNA from 1 species